AGAGUUUGAUCCUGGCUCAGGACGAACGCUGGCGGCGUGGAUUAGGCAUGCAAGUCGAACGGUAUGGUGCUUUCGGGCAUCAGAGAGUGGCGAACGGGUGAGUAACACGUAGGUUAUCUACCUUCAAGACGGGGACAACCCAGGGAAACUUGGGCUAAUACCGGAUGAAAGCAACCGUGAGGUUGUUUAAAAGAUGGCUUUAAGCUGUCGCUUGGGGAUGAGCCUGCGUCCUAUUAGUUAGUUGGUGAGGUAACGGCUCCCCAAGGCAAUGAUAGGUAGGCGGCCUUAACGGGUGGUCGCCCACACUGGGAUUGAGAAACGGCCCAGACUCCUACGGGAGGCAGCAGUCGAGAAUAGUCUACAAUGGCCGAAAGGCUGAUAGUGCGACGCCGCGUGAACGAGGAAUCCCUUCGGGGUGUAAAGUUCUUUUAUAUGUGAGCAGUGCCGGCUAUAUUAAUAGUAUAGUUGGAGAGAUAUUAGCAUAUGAAUAAGCAACGGCUAACUCCGUGCCAGCAGCCGCGGUAACACGGGGGUUGCAAGCGUUGUCCGGAAUUACUAGGCGUAAAGGGCAGGCAGGCGGACCUGCAAGUUUUCUGUUAAAGACGUCAGCUCAACUGGCGCACGGCAGGAGAUACUGCAGGUCUUGAAUGCGGUUGGGGAAGACAGAAUUCCUGGUGUAGCGGUGGAAUGCGCAGAGAUCAGGAGGAAUACCAAAGGCGAAGGCAGUCUUCCAAGCCGUUAUUGACGCUGAACUGCAAAGGUGUGGGUACCAAACAGGAUUAGAUACCCUGGUAGUCCACGCCGUAAACGAUGAGUGCUAGGUAUCGGAAGAAUUCGGUGCCGCAGUUAACGCAUGAAGCACUCCGCCUGGGGAGUACGUUCUCAAGAAUGAAACUCAAAGGAAUUGACGGGGACCCGCACAAGCAGCGGAGCAUGUGGUUUAAUUCGAUGCAACGCGAAGAACCUUACCAAGUCUUGACAUCUUAGGGACCGGUCGCGAAACCGACCUUUUUCUUCGGAAACUCUAAGACAGGUGGUGCAUGGUUGUCGUCAGCUCGUGUCGUGAGAUGUUGGCUUAAGUGCCGUAACGAGCGCAACCCCUAUUGUCAGUUGCCAGCAUUUAGUUGGGGACUCUGACGAGACUGCCGAUGACAAAUCGGAGGAAGGUGGGGACGACGUCAAAUCAUCAUGCCCUUCAUGACUUGGGCUACACACGUGCUACAAUGGUCAUAACAGAAGGAAGCUUGCGAGCAAUCGUUGGCGAAUCCUAUAAAGAUGAUCUCAGUUCGGAUUGGAGGCUGCAACUCGCCUCCAUGAAGCCGGAGUUGCUAGUAAUCGCAGGUCAGCAUACUGCGGUGAAUAAGUUCCCGGGUCUUGUAC
rnacentral:rRNA from 1 species